rnacentral:rRNA from 1 species
CAGCCGCCGCGGGAAUACGAAGGGGGCUAGCGUUGCUCGGAAUGACUGGGCGUAAAGGGCGCGUAGGCGGUUUUGACAGUCAGAUGUGAAAUUCCUGGGCUUAACCUGGGGGCUGCAUUUGAGACGUCAAGACUAGAGUGUGAGAGAGGGUUGUGGAAUUCCCAGUGUAGAGGUGAAAUUCGUAGAUAUUGGGAAGAACACCGGUGGCGAAGGCGGCAACCUGGCUCAUUACUGCCGCUGAGGCGCGAAAGCGUGGGGAGCAAACAGGAUUAGAUACCCCCGUAGUCCCUGUCUCUUAUAC